UAUUAAUCAAGAAUUUAAGUUCAUAUUGAAGAAAUAUUGCUGUUUAUGCAACCAUAUUUUUAUUUAAUUUAACAUUCGUAACGUUAGCAUUAUGUUACGAUAACUUAAUAUUUGAAAUUUGAUUAUUCGUCAUUGAAAUAUAUAUUGCGAAAGAAAACUGAAUAGUGGAUCGAUCCAAAUGGAAAAAUAUCCUGAUUGGUGUCACUUCUAGAGUCUAAAAAAAGUUAUUGUUUGCGCCGAUCCGCGGAACAUUCCAGCUCAACGAGGUGUGUUAUACCCUUUUCGUCGAGAGCCACAUCGGGAAGGAAUUUCUGAUCUUUAUAAGAAGCAUCCACGCAGAAGAACAAACAAACGUCGACGGAGAAUAAUUUGUUAAUUAAAAAUUACAAGCAAUGUUAACAUUUGUUCAUUAUCCCCACUACGAAUACGAGGAAUUUAUCAAUAUCUUUUCGUAUCGCGUUUCGUUCGAAGGCGAUAUUGUUU